UGAAGAUCUAAAAAGCUAUGUUUUAAAAGCACAAUAUUUCUGUUUAUUUUAAUACAAGAAAUGUUUAUUGUUAAACAAGUUCUAAUUUUCAGUUCAGUCUGGACGUGGGACAUCUUUUUUACCAUCUUUAUUGUUCUUUAACAUGUUGUCUUUUGUUAUGUGUUAUUAGCGAGGGGCAACCUUCCGAUCUCUCUAAUGAAGCCAACACGGAAGUGAUUUAAACUGCAAUUCAUCGACUGGCUCCAAAAGGGAGUCAAUUCCCAUAGACUCCCAUGUUAAAAAUUGCCAACUUUACAGUAGAAAAUAAUAUGUUUACAGCCUGGUACAAAAAGUGUUUUUGGCCUAUAUAGCUAAUUUUGCCCGUCAUGACAACUGUGAGGGGGGUGAAUGUUUUUGUAACUCAUCCGUUUAAAUUAUAUUAAGCCUUAAACUUCUGCAUAAUUAAGGGCGUGGCCGCUUGAGUGUCGGUUGAACAGCCACUGCUGUCACUAGACUCGCGCUAGGCGGGCGUGGUUUCACCUCAGCUUUACCCAUAUCCCGCCUCUUUACGUCAAUGUAUCGCGAGAGCGAGUCAAGAAAUUACACUCUCGCGGUACAAUGACGUUUACCUGUCAGCGCAGCAAGAAGUCGAACACACGUAUUUGCGUGCGCGCGCCUCGGUCCUUGUGAGUUCAAAGUGGAUUUUAACCGUUUACCUCAGACGACAGUUUUCAUUUCUAUGGUAAAUUCUAAGGUCAUUUUCUUGUUGUGUUGUGUUGUGAUGUGUUCCAUUGGCUGAAGAGCAGAUUACCAUGCAAUUUGAAGAAGUGUGAUAAAAUACACAGAGGUGAAGUCACGUGUCUUUCCAGAUGCCCAAAUCUGUACCACUCAAAAGGUAAUGAAGUGACAGUGUACCAUGACAAAUAAUGUAAACAUUAUUUCUUUCAAAGUUGUACUUGGGCCACAGUUUUUUCUAUUUCUAACCAAAACAUUACAUUUAUGAUUCUAUACUAAUGAAAUAUGUUUUUCUUUUUCCAAACUUUAUCAAAUGCAAUGAUCGCUAAGAUGAGCCUGAAGAGGAGAUUUGGGAAGAUGCUGUUUCAUAAGUCUUUGCUUUGCCAGAUCACCUGUGUUAAGUUUGUAAAAGAUAUAUUAAAAAUAGGACCAGAACAUCUCCUAAUCAAAUUUUUUGAUCAGGUCGGGAUGUCUGCUAACAUGAUGCCGUGUUGGUCUGGGCGAGUUUGAAGUCUCUCACAGACAGUCCAGAAGGUCUGGAGUCCAUGUUAGCUUUUAUUGAUUAACUACAUACGGUCCCUUGGGGGAGCCAACCCAGGUGAAGUCCACUGAAGUCCCGAUUGCCUACAGCAUGAAAUGGAGGAAGGAAUCAACACAGAAAAACUACAAGGCAUUAAAGGCCCUUGACGUGGAAGACUUAAUUGCAUUAGCCCUGAAAUUUGCCCCACACAGAAAUUUAAAAUGAUGGCAGAGAUUGCUGUGGAGUUCUGAAGUUCAUUGUUUAAAUGUUUUCAUUUUUAAUAUAUUAAAAUGUUUUUUUGUAUGUUGAAUGUUCUACAUGUUUAUUGCCAAUUUUAUGUGUUAUAUAAGCAAAUUAUCUACCCUAUUAUAUUAUUAU